AUACGUCCUUACCUUUAGGUGAGGGCCAGUUGGCUAUCAUACUUCCAAGAAAAGCUCGAACUACUGUAAAGCAUCAAGUACCUGUACCGUAAACCGACACAGGUGGGUUGGUAGAGUAUACCAAGGGGCGCGAGAUAACUCUCUCUAAGGAACUCGGCAAAAUGACCCCGUAACUUCGGGAGAAGGGGUGCCAAGUAACUUAAAUUGCUUGGUCGCAGUGACCAGGCCCUGGCGACUGUUUAUCAAAAACACAGGUCUCCGCAAAGUCGUAAGACAACAUAUGGGGGCUGACGCCUGCCCAGUGCCGGAAGGUUAAAGAAGUUGGUUAUUCACUUUUGGAGAAGCUGACGACUGAAGCCCCGGUGAACGGCGGCCGUAACAAUAACGGUCCUAAGGUAGCGAAAUUCCUUGUCGGGUAAGUUCCGACCCGCACGAAAGGCGUAACGAUCAGGGCACUGUCUCGGAGAGAGACUCGGUGAAAUAGACAUGUCUGUGAAGAUGCGGACUACCUGCACCUGGACAGAAAGACCCUAUGAAGCUUGACUGUAGCUUGGAAUUGGGUUCGGGCUCUUCUUGCGCAGCCUAGGUGGGAGGCGUUGAAAGUUUUCUUUUGGGAAAACUGGAGCCAUCAGUGAGAGACCACUCUGGAGGAGCUAGAAUUCUAAUGGCGUUCCUUGAAGCAGGACGCUUGACAGUUUCAGGUGGGCAGUUUGACUGGGGCGGUCACCUCCUAAAAGGUAACGGAGGUGUGCAAAGGUUCCCUCAGGCUGGACGGAAAUCAGCCGUAGAGUGUAAAGGCAGAAGGGAGCUUGACAGCAAGACCUACAAGUCGAGCAGGGGCGAAAGCCGGCCUUAGUGAUCCGACGGUUCCAUGUGGAAGGGCCGUCGCUCAACGGAUAAAAGUUACUCUAGGAUAACAGGCUGAUCUUCCCCAAGAGUUCACAUCGACGGGAAGGUUUGGCACCUCGAUGUCGGCUCAUCGCAACCUGGGGCGGUAGUACGUCCCAAGGGUUGGGCUGUUCGCCCAUGAAAGCGGUACGUGAGCUGGGUUCAGAACGUCGUGAGACAGUUCGGUCCAUAUCCGGUGUAGGCGCUAGAGCAUUGAGAGGAGCCUUCCAUAGUACGAGAGGACCUGGAAGGACGCACCUCUGGUAUACCAGUUAUCAUGCCAAUGGUACACGCUGGGUAGCCAUGUGCGGAGUGGAUAACCGCUGAAAGCAUCUAAGUGGGAAGCCCACCUCAAGAUGAGUGCUCUCCAUUAGGUCACAGGAAGACAACCUGUUUGAUAGGCAGAAGGUGUAAGGCCAGUAAUGGUUUCAGCUGAUCUGUACUAAUAGACC
rnacentral:rRNA from 1 species